UAAAUCCUGCUGAGGUAUAUACAACUCUACAAGCUGGUUCUCAAAUCCUUUUUUUGGAACGAGACUGAAGGAUUUCUGCAUAAAUAAUCAUAGUGGAAUUUUCAAGAUAUUUCAACGGUCUGUGGUGGCCAAAUAUGUGGAAUUGAGGCUGUUCCAGUAAAUCUGGAAUGAAUUGACACUCUAUCCACAGAGUAUGAAACUGUGUGUAGAGUAUGCAUGUGCGCGCGCGUGCACACACACACACAUACACACACACACACACACACAGGAAGAAUUCUUUUCUUGUCCAGACACUGGCAUUGGCAGUGAAACCAUCCAUUCCAAACCAAAGGAGCCCCCUCACCAAUGGCCUUGCCGCCCAGGAACCCUGCAGGGCAGAAGUUGGGGAGGGGAUAGCAGUCUGAAUAGCGGUCUUGGAUGGCUGGAAGCUGGCACCUGUGAACAAGCACCCAUGAUGGUGAUGCAUCCGGAACCAGGCUGCCCAGCCAACCAGUGCUUUCCCACCGGAGCUUUUGCUCUGGGCUCCUCUGCCGUUGAUUUCCCAGGUCCCGCCUUGCAUUUUCUCCCUCAUCUUCACAUGUGGGGAGCCCCUGACCGGCUGCUGAAGACCCCCAGACAAGCCUUCAGCUUCCAGAUCAUGGAAGGCAGCAUGGGGAGGCAGGAGACCCCUGGGAGGGCGGAGCAUGACUUUUGUCCAGGAGGCUGGACUACCGACUUCAGCAGGCUCUGGUUGGCUCUGGAGGACAUCCCUCAAGAAGUGCUGGCAGAUGUUAGAUUCCCGCCACCUGGAGGCCUGACCUCACCUGAGGGCAUCCCUGCCUGUCCAUGUCUUUUGACUGGGUGGGCAGCCCUGCCUACCUCUCUGCAGCUUCAAACACCAGCCGCUUCCACUCAGAGACACUCAAAAUGUGUCGAGGGAGGUUGUCCUCUGGACUCCUGGGAAUUGACCACCAGCAUGCGCUGCUCCGCUGACAAGGGAAAGGGCCCUCUGGCCCGCACAGCAUGGAUAUGGGCAGAACGGUUUUUCCUAACUAGGCCUUCUGGGUUGCAGCAGAACAGCAUGUGUCUGCUUCUCAAAUGUAACAGGACAAGAUGUUCAGGUCUUGUGUCCUCUGUGAAGCAGGGCUGCAAGGACCCCUUACCAAGGAGAAGAUUGUCUCUGGAAACUGCGAAAUCUGACCAGAAGGCCCUUAGCCUCCCAGGCUCUGUAGCUUCUGCAGUGAUGAGGCCUGGCCACCAGAUGGCUCCACAGAGGCCACUGCUCUCUCAGGGAAGAGGAGAGGAAAGUCCGGAGAGCAACAGUGGACUCGCCCAAGGUCUUACCACCCCAUCUGACCACACUGGAAGCCACGCCCACUAACCCUGGGUCAGGGGACAGCUUGCAUUAACUCUUUUCUCCCCUCUGCCCAGAGACCCAGUGGAGAGACCCAGAGUUGGGAAGGGCUGGUACAACGGGGGCAGGAAUGGGCACAGAGUGGGCCACCAUGAGCUGAAGGCCGGGCUGCAAAGGAGCUCAGUUUAGAACCCAAAGAACCUCCCUUCUCCUGAGGGACAGCCAGUGCCCCUGCCCCACCAAGGUCUUCCAUGUCCCUGGGGGCUCACCUGCCCAGACCCUGGGGCAGGGGGGGAUUUCUUUUUGAGGUUUGAACAUUCUACAGGGAACUUGCUGGAUUUCUAUUCCUACAGUGUAUCUAAGCUUUUAUUUAUGAAACAAGGUUUCUGUUCUUGGUUAAUUAGUGGGCUCCUAUAAACCCUCUCCCCCAGCUCAGGAUGUGGAGGGCAGGGGGAAAAACCAAUAAAAAUAUAAAAAUAUGGAACUCCAGAUGCACUGGACAGGGCCAGCCUUCCUGCCUGGAGAGAGGGAGGGACGUAUUACCCCAAAUUAGUAACUGCCAGAAUCCCAGGCUGAUAACAAGCAUAUUUUGGGAAGAACAUGCUACUAACUUGACCUCAUUCACACACAACUGUAACAGACCGAUGGAGUGGCUUUUUCUUCAGCAAGUUUGAAUGUGGGAGGAGAGAGGGGUCCUGAGAGCCUGGGAGUGGGGUGAGGAGGCACCAGCAGGAGUUGGGGGUAGGCAACAAAGAAUGGAAGCUGAGGGCUCCAGGGACUGACAGUACUGCCCAUGCGCCAAAAGGAAAUGGACCACUGACUUUCAGGAGAGGCCUACCUGGGUUGGGAGAGGGGCAGAUACUCAAUUUCCAUGAGUCAGUGUUUUCUCCUAGGGGAGAAAAGCAGGGUACUGUAACCUCCAGUUUCCCCCGGAGGAAGGGUUCCUGCAGGCCCAGCCUCAUGCCUGGCUCUCUGCAGAGCCCCUCAACUGCCCCCCGGGGGGGAGCAGGACUGUCAGCUGUCAGUAGACUGAGGCCCAGAGAAAGAGAAGGACUUGCCCAAGAGCUGAGUUAGUACAAAAUGCCUAGAAGAACCAAGGUCUCCUGGUCAGUUGCCUUUUACUCACGUUCUGCCUGAAUAUGAAGUUAGGCCAAAUCAGUAUUCCUGGCUCUGUGAUCCUGGACCUUGCCAAGAUCAGUUUUCCUCAUCUGUAAAAUGGGAGACUAUCUCUUACCCACUGGAGUUGAUGAUAGGAUUUGGUACUAUACGAAAUGCCCUGGCAUAUAGUCGGCAUGCAAUCAAUGGUGGCUAUAAUAGAGAGGAGUCCAAUCUUACUUCAGGGCAUGGUUCUUGAGGUCAUUUAAUGCAAAGACUGGAAGAUGGUGAAGGACAAGGGAAGCCUGGCGUGCUGGUCGCCAAGAGUCAGACACGACUAAGCCACUGAACAACAAUGCAAAGAAAGAAACCAAACAAAAAAUAGACCAAACCCUUGAAAAUCCUUUAGGAAGUCACCGAGAAGAGGUAAAUACUUAUUCGGGGUAAGUGGGGAAGAAAGUGGAAGGCUUUAGGAUUGCCAAGGAGCCAAAGGGUGAGACGUAUGACAGGCAAACUGUAUCCAGUGGACGGGUCCUACGCAGGCCUAGCAGGUACAGGAGGGUCAGCGCCAGAAUGGGCAGGGCCUUGAAUGCCAGGCGGAGAAGUCCGGACCGGCUGGCUGCUGUCAGGAGAUGUUUAAUUUUGGCAGUGGGGUGAUUAAAGGGAGGUUCCCUGUGUGCGUGAAUUUCCACCCACCUCCAGGGUUGUUUCUCUGCUGGAGAGCCGGGGCCAAUUUAUGGCUCCUGGCUGCCCCUAUGCAGCCUCUCCCAGCCCUCCUCCUCCCUGGCUGUCUGGCAGCCAACUGAGUUUUAUGUGGGGAAUCUGAGGAAUUUGAAAAGGCAAAAUGCAAAUGCCACUGUUGGAGAUUUCCUUGUCAGCCUCCAGAGGGGAAAGGCCCCUCUUUGUGGGUUAAGGAAGAGUGGCUCUCUCGGGCCCCAAAGAGCAUCCCCAUCUGUGGGGAUGCUCAGGGCCAGUUCCUUGACCCCCAUCUGUGAGAAGCAGGCAGUGUCACCAUAAACAAGCACUCUCCUCUGGAGCUCUUGGAGAGCCAAGCUGGGUAACAGAGAGAAGUCCUUGGACACUGUAAAGAGCCUGCCGCACGCCCUGUGUUGAGACAGUAAUGACGAUUCCUGAGUGCCCUCCUUUCACAGAGGAGGGAGUCGACAGAGGAGGGAAUGGGGAGACUUUUUGUCUGGGGGUCACCGGGGCCGACCUGGACGGGGGCCAGGGCCCCAGCGCUGAUGGGACCGGGUGGCGGCCUGGUGCAAUGAGCGCGCUGAGGUCGCGGGGCGGUCCCGGGCCUCGCACGUCCCGAGACCCUCAGGGCCUCGCCACCGCCCCCGGACCUGCCCCGGCUGGUGUGUGUGUUGGGGGGUUGGGGGGAGCGCUGUGGGGCGGCCGGGAGCUGGGAACUGGGAGCCGGGAGCCGCGCCCGAACUCGGGCGCCUCUAUCUCCCGCGGCCACGGCGUCUCCGAGUCUCGGCGGCCCGAGCGCCGGGCGUUAUCUGCUCUUGCCCGGCCGGGCCCCUUCCCGCCUUCCCGCCAGGCCGGGGCCGCCGUGGCGACUGGCUGCUCCCGCCUUAUCAUCGGCUGCCCCCGCCAGCGAGCUGGGGCCCAAGUCUGACCCCCGCCCCUGCCGCUCCGCGGACCGCCCCCUCCCGUCCCGGACAGCCACCCACCCACCCAGAUGCCCCCUCCCAGGGUGGCCCCCUACCCGAUGUCCCUCUCAGAGCGGCCCCUUCUGGGGCCAAGCUGCGGGAGCGCUUUCCCCAAGGGGCACGGCAUCAGAAAAGGGUGUUUGUCAGAUUUGUCCUUUUCUUAAAAGGCAAGCCUAACUAUGGUUAAUCCCAUUUUAGUCACGUUUUAAAGGAUUUCAUAAGAGAGGCAAAGUUAUGCAAAACAAAACAAAAGCAGUCAAUCCCUAAACCCACUAUACAUCAGGGCUGGGCAGGGGCGGGGUGGGAUAGAGUGCUUAUUCAUCAGGUCGCCCUAAACCGCUUCUGCUCAGGGCUUACUGUGUUAAGUGUGACACCCCUUGGAAGGGAAGCUUCCCCACCUAAGUACUGGAAUCUGUAGGCCAUAAAGCUUCCCGUAGAGCUGGUGGCAGAAAACAAGGGUGCAGCCCUUUGUAAUAGCAAUUUGGCAGUAUAGACAGAAAGCCAUAAAAGUAUUCAUACACUUUGACUCAGUAAUCUCACUCUGGGAAUGUAUCCCAAGGAAAUAGUUCAACAGCAGUGAAAGAAAAAGACAAAAGCAGAAAACGGUGGGUCCAUCCAUCUGUAAAGCUAGUGAACGUAUCUUUCUGAGCGAAAAGUUGGAAUACACAAAUUGCAUGGAACUGGGUUCGUAGUCACCAUGGUGCCACCGUGAACCCAUCAACAAACCUCAAAUAAGUGUCUUAACCUCACUGAAGUUCCCUUUUUGUUUCUGGGAGGUGGAUAACCUCACCACUCAGAGGACUUUCAUAGGAAUUCCAGGAGACAGCCUGUGAAAGCAUCUAGUACAGGGUUUGAGGGCAGAGGAAGAACGUAAGAAGUGUUUAUUUCCCUCCUUUCUUCAUCCUUACAGAAAUGAAAAUAUGGAGUAUUUCAGGUCACAUUUGUAAAUACUAGAGAAAGUGCACACGGUACGUUAAGAGCUUGGGAUUUUUAAGUCCUUCAAACUUGGAUUGGGCUAGAAUCCUAGCACCACUUACUUCCUAGCUGUGUAAUCUUGACAAGAUAUAUUUCCUCAUUUAUUAAAAAAUGAUUAUAGAAUUUACCCUGUAACUGUUGUGAGGGUUAAAUGAGGUA
rnacentral:lncRNA from 1 species